rnacentral:lncRNA from 1 species
AGAUAGAUAGAUAGAUAGAUAGAUAGAUAGAUAGAUAAAUAGAUAGAUAGAUAGAUGGAGAGAUAGACAGACAGACAGACCGACAGAUAGAUACAAGAUAAAAAAAAAAACAAGCAACGAAUUCUGUAUCUGCUUCAUAUUCUCAAGACAUGCAACAAUAAGAAAACACGCCAGCAAUUACUCACAAAAUAAUAUACAAUUUAAACAAAUUAUUCCCUCCAGAUGUUAUUAUAUGUAGAGAUAAGUUCUUACAUAAAGAAUUAGAACUUUAGGCUUCUGGAAAUAGUGAUUUGAACACGGAACAAGCAGCAGCGAUGUAUUUAAUCGCAAACCGUUUUUAUUGAACUUAAUGUAAUUGUUAUAUAUUGUUUCGAAUAUGAUACGUACGAUGGCAAUUAUUUCUGAUUUUUUGUUGCCGAUUCUAUUUGAACUCGUGUACUGAUGCGUCUAAGUUAAUAGGCAACUCGCUGAAACACUCUGAUAAACAACUAUACCACUUCGUUAAUAGGAGGCGUGUAAAGUGAAUUGUAUAUUUAUCUAUCCAUACAUACAUACACACACACACACACACACAAACAACAUAAAGAGAGAGAGAGAGAGAGAGAUUUAAGGAUAUACAUAGACACCUGCAUAUAUACCUUCACACAUACUUACAUAAAUACUUUCAUACAUACAUAAUACAUACAUACGAUACCAUACAAUGCCAUAAUAUACAUACUUAUUUUAUCGUUGGAACCAGGAGAAUGAAACGGAAGUCCGAUGCCACUGAGAUUUAGACUAAGAGUGUAACGUAAUAAAGUCAGGUACUGUACCAUCUGCGCCGUCUCCCAGUCGGAUAAGGCUAACAUCAGAAUAUAAGGCGCGGACGAUGAUUUUCAUGUUGAAAUGUUGUUAAGAACUGUCUAAUGCAACUGUGUAUGUUUCACAACAGGAAGCUAACUCAUCCAGG